GAUGAAGAACGUAGCGAAAUGCGAUAAGUAGUGUGAAUUGCAGAAUUCAGUGAAUCAUCGAAUCUUUGAACGCACAUUGCGCCCCUCGGUAUUCCGUGGGGCAUGCCUGUUCGAGCGUCAUUUAACCCCUCAAGCCUAGCUUGGUAUUGGGUGCUUGUCCCGCCUCUCGCGCGGCGACUCACCUCAAAGUCAUUGGCAGCCCGCAUCUCGCCGGCCGUGAGCGCAGCACAGACGCGCUCUUGGCAACGACGGAUCGGCUCUCCAAAAGCUUAUUUCAACCACUGGCCUCGGAUCAGGUAGGGAUACCCGCUGAACUUAAGCAUAUCAAUAAGCGGAGGA
rnacentral:misc_RNA from 1 species